rnacentral:rRNA from 1 species
GUGCCAGCAGCCGCGGUAAUACGGAGGAUCCAAGCGUUAUCCGGAAUCAUUGGGUUUAAAGGGUCCGUAGGCGGGCAGUUAAGUCAGUGGUGAAAGUCUUCCGCUCAACGGGAGAACUGCCAUUGAUACUGAUUGUCUUGAGUUAUUAUGAAGUGGUUAGAAUGAGUAGUGUAGCGGUGAAAUGCAUAGAUAUUACUCAGAAUACCGAUUGCGAAGGCAGAUCACUAAUAAUAUACUGACGCUGAUGGACGAAAGCGUAGGUAGCGAACAGGAUUAGAUACCCUGGUAGUCUACGCCGUAAACGAUGGUUACUAGCUGUUCGGCCCGAUUAAAGGCUGAGUGGUUAAGCGAAAGUGAUAAGUAACCCACCUGGGGAGUACGUUCGCAAGAAUGAAACUCAAAGGAAUUGACGG